GGGAAAGUUGACUUUGAAUUAAUGGACUGUAAUCAAGAAGAGGAAGAACUUUUAAUUGUGUGUGUUACUCUCGUACCGUUUGCGCCGAGGACUUUUAUUUACUUUACAGGAAAAAAAACGUGGAAUUUUUGCACGUGCUUUAGUGACUGUCGCACACGUUUCAUCUACUUUCACUUUUUUUUUUUUUUUUUUUUUCAAACGUCUUUCGAUAUACAUUUUUUAAAUGGUUCGUACGAUCAAGUCCGGUUGCGGAGACUCACGUGUCACGUUAUCACAUCGUACUCACGUAAUUACACGUCAAACGCGUGCGACUCUUCUGUAACGGCUCUAGAAAUGAAAAGAAUGGUUUUUCACUGAGGUCUUGUAUACAGAGGACAUUUUGCAGGCGCAGGAAGCUACUGGAAAUUCAGACACUGACAACAAUGCGAAAAACGAUAAAAUAUGGAUCACUUCCGGUACGGAUGUAAAGUCCGAGCGAUGGAAGUCCAUUUCACGAAGGUACGACAGAGAGCGAAAUAGAUCCAAGACUUGAACCUGAGCUUGGCUUGGUCUUGACGACUGACCGAUUUCAGGGAGCAUACUCUGCUCUGAUUGGUCAGACAUCCCAGUCUGUUGUCAUUGCUCGACCGCUGUCAGCGAGCAGCCGAUGAAGACCAGAGGCGGGGUUUUUUGAUACAAACCUACAUAGUUUUGGAGACUUUCUGACCCCAAGACGCAACUCACUUC
ensembl:lncRNA